GGAGGGUAUAGCUCAGUGGUAGAGCACAUGCUUAGCAUGCAUGAGGUCCUGGGUUCAAUCUCCAGUACCUCCA
rnacentral:tRNA from 1 species